GUGAGUGACGGCGUGAGCGUCCAGCAUCAUCCUGUGUUACUGAUGGAGAGCUACACCUGUGACGGAGGCUCGUAUCUGUCCCCGUCUCCACCCAAAGUCACGUCCUCCGUCCUCUACCACAAAGAGCAGGAGCUGCAGAGUCAGAGCAGCACGUUCAUCACAGCGAGCAAGACUUCAGGUCUGUUAGGCCUCUCGACUCUGGUCUGAAUCAAACGCUUCAGAUCACUGUGAAUCCUUCAGUGUCUGGACUGUGAAUGCUGGACGUGUUCGGACAGACACAGAUCAAAUGCACUGAAACAUUUCAUCAUAUCAUCUUUUUCAAAGACUGAUAAUCGUCCAGAGCCGCGCUGAUGAAUAUGAACUCUGACUGCAGUGCAGGAUAAAAGUCCUCAGCAGUGCGUGACAGGACCCAGAUCACAGAUCUACAUUAAAUCAGCUGCUUUAUUUUUACUCCUUUCAUUCUGAGACUGCAGAUCCUUCACCUCUCGACAUCUCACUCAGUAUUUCUGAUUGUACAAACAGUUGAAUGAAUUGAGUUCUGGCGCUACUAAUAAAAUCCAGACAGGAUUGCAUUGUUAAUAAGGAUUGAGUCUGACUUUUUACUAUGAAAAUAAAAAUAAAACAACAGUAAUUAAAAUCAAA